rnacentral:tRNA from 2 species
GACGAGGUGGCCGAGUGGUUAAGGCGAUGGACUGCUAAUCCAUUGUGCUCUGCACAUGUGGGUUUGAAUCCCAUCCUCAUCG